GAUGAACGCUGGCGGCGUGCCUAAUACAUGCAAGUCGAGCGAACGGACGAGAAGCUUGCUUCUCUGAUGUUAGCGGCGGACGGGUGAGUAACACGUGGAUAACCUACCUAUAAGACUGGGAUAACUUCGGGAAACCGGAGCUAAUACCGGAUAAUAUUUUGAACCGCAUGGUUCAAAAGUGAAAGACGGUCUUGCUGUCACUUAUGGAUGGAUCCGCGCUGCAUUAGCUAGUUGGUAAGGUAACGGCUUACCAAGGCAACGAUGCAUAGCCGACCUGAGAGGGUGAUCGGCCACACUGGAACUGAGACACGGUCCAGACUCCUACGGGAGGCAGCAGUAGGGAAUCUUCCGCAAUGGGCGAAAGCCUGACGGAGCAACGCCGCGUGAGUGAUGAAGGUCUUCGGAUCGUAAAACUCUGUUAUUAGGGAAGAACAUAUGUGUAAGUAACUGUGCACAUCUUGACGGUACCUAAUCAGAAAGCCACGGCUAACUACGUGCCAGCAGCCGCGGUAAUACGUAGGUGGCAAGCGUUAUCCGGAAUUAUUGGGCGUAAAGCGCGCGUAGGCGGUUUUUUAAGUCUGAUGUGAAAGCCCACGGCUCAACCGUGGAGGGUCAUUGGAAACUGGAAAACUUGAGUGCAGAAGAGGAAAGUGGAAUUCCAUGUGUAGCGGUGAAAUGCGCAGAGAUAUGGAGGAACACCAGUGGCGAAGGCGACUUUCUGGUCUGUAACUGACGCUGAUGUGCGAAAGCGUGGGGAUCAAACAGGAUUAGAUACCCUGGUAGUCCACGCCGUAAACGAUGAGUGCUAAGUGUUAGGGGGUUUCCGCCCCUUAGUGCUGCAGCUAACGCAUUAAGCACUCCGCCUGGGGAGUACGACCGCAAGGUUGAAACUCAAAGGAAUUGACGGGGACCCGCACAAGCGGUGGAGCAUGUGGUUUAAUUCGAAGCAACGCGAAGAACCUUACCAAAUCUUGACAUCCUUUGACAACUCUAGAGAUAGAGCCUUCCCCUUCGGGGGACAAAGUGACAGGUGGUGCAUGGUUGUCGUCAGCUCGUGUCGUGAGAUGUUGGGUUAAGUCCCGCAACGAGCGCAACCCUUAAGCUUAGUUGCCAUCAUUAAGUUGGGCACUCUAAGUUGACUGCCGGUGACAAACCGGAGGAAGGUGGGGAUGACGUCAAAUCAUCAUGCCCCUUAUGAUUUGGGCUACACACGUGCUACAAUGGACAAUACAAAGGGCAGCGAAACCGCGAGGUCAAGCAAAUCCCAUAAAGUUGUUCUCAGUUCGGAUUGUAGUCUGCAACUCGACUACAUGAAGCUGGAAUCGCUAGUAAUCGUAGAUCAGCAUGCUACGGUGAAUACGUUCCCGGGUCU
rnacentral:rRNA from 1 species